rnacentral:rRNA from 1 species
UACGUAGGGGGCAAGCGUUGUCCGGAUUUAUUGGGCGUAAAGCGCGCGUAGGCGGCGCGGUAUGUCGUGCGUGAAAUCUCCCGGCUUAACUGGGAGGGGCCGUGCGAAACUGCCGGGCUUGAGGUCAGAAGGGGAAAGUGGAAUUCCGGGUGUAGUGGUGGAAUGCGCAGAUAUCAGGAAGAACACCCGUGGCUAAGGCGGCUCUCUAGUACGGUACUGACGCUGAGACGCGAAAGCGUGGGGAGCGAACAGG